GACGAACGCUGGCGGCGUGCCUAAUACAUGCAAGUCGAGCGAAGCGGCUGAUGGGUGAGUAACGCGUGGGUAACCUGCCCUUAAGUCUGGGAUACCAUUUGGAAACAGAUGCUAAUACCGGAUACUAAAGGAUGGACCUGCGAUGCAUUAGCUAGUUGGUAAGGUAACGGCUUACCACGGGGAUGAUGCAUAGCAGGGUUGAGAGACUGAGCGGCCACACUGGGACUGAGACACGGCCCAAACGCCUACGGGAGGCAGCAGUAGGGAAUCUUCCACAAUGGACGAAAGUCUGAUGCAGCAACGCCGCGUGAGUGAAGAAGGUGUUCGGAUCGUAAAGCUCUGUUGUUGGGGAAGCGGUAAUCAACCAGAAAGUAACGGCUAACUACGUGCCAGCAGCCGCGGUAAUUC
rnacentral:rRNA from 1 species